rnacentral:rRNA from 1 species
GAUUGGUGCUUGCAUCAUGAUUUACAUUUGAGUGAGUGGCGAACUGGUGAGUAACACGUGGGAAACCUGCCCAGAAGCGGGGGAUAACACCUGGAAACAGAUGCUAAUACCGCAUAACAACUUGGACCGCAGGUCCGAGCUUGAAAGAUGGCUUCGGCUAUCACUUUUGGAUGGUCCCGCGGCGUAUUAGCUAGAUGGUGGGGUAACGGCUUCACCCAUGGGCAAUGAUACGUAGCCGACCUGAGAGGGUAAUCGGCCACAUUGGGACUGAGACACGGCCCAAACUCCUACGGGAGGCAGCAGUAGGGAAUCUUCCACAAUGGACGAAAGUCUGAUGGAGCAACGCCGCGUGAGUGAAGAAGGGUUUCGGCUCGUAAAACUCUGUUGUUAAAGAAGAACAUAUCUGAGAGUAACUGUUCAGGUAUUGACGGUAUUUAACCAGAAAGCCACGGCUAACUACGUGCCAGCAGCCGCGGUAAUACGUAGGUGGCAAGCGUUGUCCGGAUUUAUUGGGCGUAAAGCGAGCGCAGGCG